AUUCUUUAUACUCCUUGAAAGACUUAUAAUAUUUUUCUGGACUAUGCUGGACUAUUGAACUAUUUUGUUAUUUUUAUUUUUGUAGAGUUAGCCGGAGAGAGAGGAAGUGUUAGCUUACUCAGGCAUGGAUGUACUAUGUGUGUCAUUGAUGUAUGUUGAGUGUACCAAGGAUGGAUUCCAAUGUAUUAAGUGUGGAUAUGACUGGACUAUCAAAAUAGGGAUUUGAUUAGGAGGCAUAGGACGCAAGGUCAUGAUUGGGAUUAUUGCUAGAAUUGCAAACUGAUUAGAAAUGAUCUUAUGAUUUAAUAUGUAAGUGGCCUUUCAAAAUAAUCAAGAAGUGUUUCCCAAUCCCGAUACCUGAGCUAUUUACUUACAUGGUGCAGGUUUUAUAAGUCACUAAUGCUGUCAACGUGAGGGGAUGACAUGUUUACACAGUCAUGGCCCUCACUUAGAAUUUACCCAGAUGUGCUUUUUUUCUCAAUUAUGAGUUUUUGCCACUGGGAUUUUUGACCUGGCCCAAGUUCACUAGGUGGACUGGUAAUCCAAGACCCUGGUCCAAAGAGGGGAAAUAGAUUUUAUUCCCAUUUUUGAUUAUAUGUGUUUACGUUGUGAAUUAUAAUAAUAAUAUUCCCGUUGUUAGGAAUAAUACACUUUGCCUGUUUUGAUCCAAGGCUCAAGUUGCAGAUAACAUGAUGUGCAG